rnacentral:lncRNA from 1 species
AACUCUCCACCUUCCCACCCACUCUGUGCCUGGAAGGGUGACUCCUCUGGCCACCUCUGGCUUCUUGCUUGGUGUGAUCAAAGGAGACUGGAGGAUGCAAGGAGAGUGAAGCGGCUUGUUGGAUUUUGCUUGGCAUGGAAUUGAAUCAAUAGAUCAAUUUGGGAAGAAAUGACAUCUUGGAAGUAUUGAGAAUUUCAAUUCAUGAAAGUCUUGCUCCAUUGCCCUGGCUGGAGUGCAGCGGUGUG